UCUUUGAGGUCUGCAUUUUUUUUGAUGUGUGGUUAUGCAUCACUGACAGUUCUCCAUGAGGACACACAUGCUGAAAAAAAUCAACUUGAAAGGAGGAAGGGAAGUUGCAAUUACCAAGUCUAGCAGGACAAGCGCUAGUCGAAAUGUAAGAGAUGUCUAGUAGAGGACCCCAAUGAAGUAGCACAUAGGUAUAUUUGCGUUUCUCCUUCCUGGGGAUAGCCUCUCUGCAAUUAUAAGGAAAUAUGACAAGCAGCAGUGCCUGUGCAGACAGCAGCAGAAGAAAGGCACCACUAGGGAUUAGCUAGCCCGAAGCUGCAGCCAGAGCACAGCUGGCUCAGCCUCAAAAUUAAGUGCCUUCAGUCAGGUGGGUAAAGGGAAUCAUCCCCGAAGUGUGGCAGAGCACACUAAAAGGGACUCCAAUGCAUAGACUGGUUGGUUGUUUUUUAAUCUGACACUGCGUAUUACUGGGACAGCCCAGGAUUUCCUGACUGCACUGAAUUCCUCCGUAAAAGGACAGAACAGCCUGCUGUUGGGCAAGUGCAGCUCGAUCCGCUUGCUUUCUCUUAGUGAAGAAGCCAGGAAAUCUGCAAUCCGUUCAACACUAGUUGCUGGCCUUCCAAUGACCUUGUCUCCACCACAGCCCCAAAGCACUACCCAAGUGAAAACAGACCUGCAGGACGCUGCCGCAAUCUACUAUUGUGCUACACACCUACAUGAGACCUCAGGUGUUUGCUAGGGAACCAGAUAAGAGCUACUGAAAAACUAUUGCUAGCAGUAUCCAAAAAAAAAAAACCUA